GGGUCAGUAGGUUGGUCGUGCCACCGGUACGUACUGGUCUCACUGAUUCCUCCUUCCUGAAGAACCGUAAUGCCAUUAAUUUGGUGUUGCGGGGAAACAGGACUGUUACAUUGAAAAAAUUAGAGUGUUUAAAGCAAGCUAACGCUUGAAUACAUUAGCAUGGGAUAAUGAAAUAGGACGAUCGAUCCUAUUUUGUUGGUUUCUAGGAUUGACGUA
rnacentral:rRNA from 1 species